rnacentral:rRNA from 1 species
UACGGGGGGGGCAAGCGUUGUUCGGAAUUACUGGGCGUAAAGGGCUCGUAGGUGGUCAACUAAGUCAUACGUGAAAUCCCUCGGCUUAACCGGGGAACUGCGUCUGAUACUGGAUGGCUUGAGUUUGGGAGAGGGAUGCGGAAUUCCAGGUGUAGCGGUGAAAUGCGUAGAUAUCUGGAGGAACACCGGUGGCGAAGGCGGCAUCCUGGACCAAUACUGACACUGAGGAGCGAAAGCCAGGGGAGCAAACGGG